GCUGGAGUAGCUCAGUUGGCAGAGCACGUCCUUGGUAAGGACGGGGUCGCGAGUUCAAUUCUCGCCUCCAGCU
rnacentral:tRNA from 1 species